rnacentral:rRNA from 1 species
AGUGAACGCUGGCGGUAGGCCUAACACAUGCAAGUCGAACGGCAGCACAGUAAGAGCUUGCUCUUACGGGUGGCGAGUGGCGGACGGGUGAGGAAUACAUCGGAAUCUACUUUUUCGUGGGGGAUAACGUAGGGAAACUUACGCUAAUACCGCAUACGACCUACGGGUGAAAGCAGGGGAUCUUCGGACCUUGCGCGAUUGAAUGAGCCGAUGUCGGAUUAGCUAGUUGGCGGGGUAAAGGCCCACCAAGGCGACGAUCCGUAGCUGGUCUGAGAGGAUGAUCAGCCACACUGGAACUGAGACACGGUCCAGACUCCUACGGGAGGAAGCAGUGGGGAAUAUUGGACAAUGGGCGAAAGCCUGAUCCAGCCAUACCGCGUGGGUGAAGAAGGCCUUCGGGUUGUAAAGCCCUUUUGUUGGGAAAGAAAAGCAGCAGGUUAAUACCCCGCUGUUCUGACGGUACCAAAAGAAUAAGCACCGGCUAACUUCGUG